AAUUCAUCUCGUGUUGUUUUUCUUAGCCUUUAUUUGGCAAAAGUUCAGCUUGUUUACGAGUUUAGGUACACAUCUCACACCUGUACCUCUGUUUUGAUUUGCUAUGAAAUGUUGGUUAUUCUUUAAAGUUAUUUGCUGUGAUUAUGUAAACUGACUGUUUGUUCUGUUUUGAACAUGAAUGGAUGUUAGUUUUGAUAUGUUUAAGACUUACAACCUGUUAAGGACAGAUGGUCUCCAUAGCAAUUUCGUGACUAGAAUUGUAGCUGAUUUCACAUGUUUAGUUGGAUCUCAACCUAUAUAUCUCAUUGUCAAAUACAUGCUGCCUAUAUUUGAGUAUUAACUACUGAAAUCUGAACUUGCUUUUGUAUUCUGAUAAAUUAAAGUCUAAUACUGGAUUUGAAGGUCAAUAAUGGUGGAUCUGGCCACAGGUUGGUUUGAUUUGCCAUUUAAGGCUCGAGUGAAGUUUCAUCUCUGUCGGAUCUUUGUUGUUUGGGUUUGUUAUUCAUUAAGCAUCAGUUAGAGUUGUGAUCAUAGUGAAGGUUAACCAAAGCUGUAUUCUUUAAUGGAGGAUGGAUGUUGUAAUUUUAAGCAUAAGAUGAUGUAUUCCAUAAUUGACAGUGUAUUUGCUUAGGUGAGUGUUCGUGUAAAUUAUAAUUGUUUAAAUUGAUAGAAGUUCAAUUGUUCAAACCAUUUAUUUAUUUUGUUAAGCUAUAAUACUGCCAUUCAGUGGUUGAGUGAUUUUGUAAAUACAAGGCAUAUAUAGGG
rnacentral:lncRNA from 1 species